rnacentral:rRNA from 1 species
CGCUAGAAGAGGUAACUUUUAGCAAUACCUGCCCAGUGCGAAAUAUUACUGUAAACGGCCGCCCUAGCGUGAGGGUGCUAAGGUAGCGAAAUUCCUUGCCUUUUAAUUGUAGGCCUGCAUGAAUGGUUUAACGAGGGUUUAGCUGUCUCUAAGUUUUUAACUGAAAUUGUACUGAAGGUGAAGAUACCUUCAUUUAAAAGUUAGACAAAAAGACCCCGUGCAACUUUGAAAAUUAACUUUAUUCAAGGGUAAAAGAUUUUUAGGUGGGGCGCCUAGAAAGUAAGCUUAACCUUUCUGAGUAGUAGUUUCUUUCAGGAGUUGACCCGAUUAUAUUCGAUCAUAGGAGAAGUUACGCCGGGGAUAACAGGCUAAUCCUUUAGUAGAGCUCGUAUUGGCUAAAGGGAUUGGCACCUCGAUGUUGAAUCAGGGAUGAUAGCUUCAAGGCGUAGAGGCUUUGAGAGUAGGUCUGUUCGACCUUUAAUACCCU